AUUAUUGGGCGUAAGCGCGCGCAGGUGGUUUCUUAAGUCUGAUGUGAAAGCCCACGGCUCUACCGUGGAGGGUCAUUGGAAACUGGGAGACUUGAGUGCACAAGAGGAAAGUGGAAUUCCAUGUGUAGCGGUGAAAUGCGUAGAGAUAUGGAGGAACACCAGUGGCGAAGGCGACUUUCUGGUCUGUAACUGACACUGAGGCGCGAAAGCGUGGGGAGCAAACAGGAUUAGAUACCCUGGUAGUCCACGCCGUAAACGAUGAGUGCUAAGUGUUAGAGGGUUUCCGCCCUUUAGUGCUGAAGUUAACGCAUUAAGCACUCCGCCUGGGGAGUACGGCCGCAAGGCUGAAACUCAAAGGAAUUGACGGGGGCCCGC
rnacentral:rRNA from 1 species